UGACAGACGCCAAAGACAAUGCUGCAUCUGUCUAGCCACCUGCCAAUGACACCGUGUUACCUGGUGGUGUCCCUUGCCCUGGUGCCAGUCUUGCUAGCAUAGCGGCACCUCAGCCCCAAUCUCAUGGAUGAAAGCAAGACCUUCUCAUUAACCGAGAGCCUGCAACAACUCUCCCAACAGCUCAAUGGCGUUUCAGCAACAGGUAUCUGUGCGGAGGGCUCUGGAUCAUCCGCUACCCUGAAGGAUCUGGAAAGCAGAUACCAAGAGGUAACAGUCGCCCUGGACUCGAGUUAUAUAACAAUCAGUCGACGGAAUAAAACCAUCGAGUCAUUGGUAAGAGUUCAAUGGGGUCCAAAACAGCACAACCAAAAACUUGUCAAGCAACUAGAAGAAAUGAUUUGAAAAGCAAGAAAGCCAGCAAAACCGGGGAGCCCUAAAGAGGCAAUUACAGGUGAAGUCUUGAUGUUUGAGAAAGCAGAAUUGAAGACAACACUGUAUCACAAUGAACGUGCUGCCAGGCAGUUUGAAUAAGAGGCCGAGGAUCUGGCCAGCCAUCUGCUGUAUUCCUGGCAGCAUGUGGGAGAGUUGGAGCAGGAGCAGAGGAAGGCAGAUAGGUACAACAACCAGUUAACCAGAGACAGCGAUGCCCUCAGGCUGGAGUUAUACAAUAACAGCAACAGCAAUAAGGAGCUGAAGCAGGAGAACUCAGCUUUGGCAGAGCAGCUUCAAGUUGUACUGAUUGACAAGGCAGGGAUGCAGUGUGACUUGGAGGAGCUGAAAAAGAAACUGGAACUCACUGAGCUCACGCUUCAACAGUUAUCUAGCUGGUGUGAAGCCCCUGAUGCUAACCAGCAGUUACAGCAGCCCACAGACGAACGGGCACAGCUGGAAGCACACCUGGGGCAGGUGAGGUGAUGGAGUGGCUGAAGUAUCUGCAAAUGGAGAGAGAGCAGUAUGCCGAGUAUCUGCAUGGAGAGAGUGCCAUGUGGUGGCAGAGGAUGCGGGAGAUGUCAGAGCAGGUGCACACGUUGAGGGAGGAGAGAGUGCACAGCAUGAGUCGAGUACAGGAGCUGGAGACGAUCUUGGCUGAACUAAGGAACCAGCUGAACCCCUACUCCCGGAGCCCCCAGCAGGGCCCUCCGAGGUGGAGCAGCAGCUACAAGCAGAGGCUGAACACCUGCGGAAGGAGCUGGAGAAUCUGACAGGACAGCUUUAAGCCCAUGUGCAAGAAAAUGAGGGCUUGAGUCGCCUGAACCAAGAGCAGGAAGAGGUUGCUGGAGCAAGAGGAGAGGAUGCUGGAGCAAGAGGAGAGGCUGCUGGAGCUUGAGUGGAAAGCCGAGCCUUGAGAGGAGCAGGUGGAGGCGCUCAGGCAUACCGUGCGGAACGACCGUACCACCAUCAGGCGCGCGCUCUCCCAGAAACACGAACUGAAGAAGUAUCUGGGCGAGCUGAAGGAGAUGCUGAAGAACCAAGAGGCUCAGAGCCUGCCGCAGCGGGGAGACCAGUGCUGAGGUCUUCUGCAGCAGUACUAUCAGCAGCUGAUCUCUGAGGAGGAGGCACUGCACAGGCAGUUAUUUCUGCAGAUCCAGCUCGUGGACCAGCUGCAGCACCAGAGAAAAGAGUAGCAGAGAUGGCCUGCCAAGAGUUGCAGGAGACCCAGGAAAGGGACGCCUGGAAGCAGAACCAGUAGCUACAGGCCCAGUUGAGUCUCAUGGCUCUCCCUGGGGAAGGUACGGGGGAGACCAGAGAUGGACUGGAGAGUGAGGAGGAGGAGGAGCCUUGGUCCAUGCUGAGCAUCCUGGAGGACCUGGAGAGCUGGGAGACCAUGAUGUGGCAUUUUAAAACUUGGCUUUAGCCAGUGCCGAAGAGGAGCAGGCACAGCUACAUGGGCAGCUGAAGGAGCAAAGGGUGCACUGCCAGCGCCUGUCUUACCCGGUGGCCUUGGCCCAGAAGGAGCCAGAGGCAGCAGCCUCAGCCCCAGGGACUGGGGGCGAUUCUGUGUGGGGAAACCCACCGGACCUUGCAGGGGACCAUGGGGAAGCUGCAGAGCCGCUUUAUGGAGCUCAUGCAGGAGAAUGAGCGGGUGGAGAAACUGGAAUGUCGCUGCAUUCAGCUGUCUGGACAAACAGACACCAUCAGAAAGUACGUCACAUCAUACCAGAGCCAGAGGUCAGUGCUGAAGACGUGGACCGGGAGAAUGAGUACAUAAGCAGGCUGGCUCAGGACAAGGAGGAGAUGAAGGUGAAGCUGCUGGAGCUGGUGUUGCAGCUUGUGGGCGACUGCAACAAGUGGCAUGGCAGAUUCCUGGCAGCUGCCCAGAACCCUGCUGAUGAGCCUGCUCCAUGGGACCCAGCCCCCCAGGAGAUUGGGGCUGCCAACAAGCAGGGUGGCACAGUGUGGAGCCUGAACAAGAAGAGGCUGGGGAGGGUUUUCCCCACGACAGCCCCACGGCACAGCAGAUCAUGCGGCUGCUUCAUGAGAUGCAGAACCCCCAGGAGCGCCCAGGCUUGGGCAGCAACCCCUGCAUCCCCAUUUUUUACUGAGCUCAGGAGAGCAAGAUGAAGGUAACAAUCAUCUAA
rnacentral:lncRNA from 1 species